CUAGGCAUGCUUUCAUUCAUUCUGUUCAUUAGUACUUCAAAGCAUUCUAAAGUAUACUGCUUUCACAAAAAAAAUUCCAAAAUGACCUAAUGAAUUUAUCAAGACACCUUAGCUCAAGAGUGACUUUGAGUGUUGCUAUUUAAAUAGCAACUUCAAUGAGAAAAGAAAGAAGUGAAUUACAGAAAUUGGAAAGAAGCAGGCUGCAGAAAAUCCAGACUCUCAAAAGUAUGCAUUAACAAACACAAACAGUGAAUUUUCAUGGCCACUUCUCAAGAUAAGCAUGGCUUGUGUCGAGGAAACCCAGAAUUCUCUAAGACAUUUCUUUGAAAUCAUGUCAAAUCUUUGUCUUCAAGGCUGACAUCAUCUUUGGCAAGAUGGGCUUCUCUGCAUAAUGAGCAAAAUAGCCAUCUGCAGCUCUGUACUCAAAACCUCCUACCUCCGAAGCUACAGAGAACUGAGACCACCUCUCCAGUUUAAAAAUUCAUCCAAAAUAUCCUGCCUGGGCCAGAUUGGGAUACUUGCCAACACUUGAACCACCAAGGUUGGGAGAAUGAAAUAUCAUUAUUGACCCAGCUGGAGUCCCUACUCUGUCACCAGUGUCUGCAAUGGUCAACUCUCAAAUAUUUAUGAAGUAAAUACCCCAGAGACAACUUUGUUAAAAUAUAAACAUUGGGAAAAAAAUGUCCAAGGACUUAAUAAACAUCCUUUGUCUAUAAUACACAAGUAUUAUAAUUAUAAUUUUAAAACAUAAUAUAAAUAACUGUAUUCACAAUAUAUUGUAAUACUAACAAGAUUAUUUAUAAUCACCAAAUCUACUAUUCAACCUGUUAUUUGAGACUAAUUAAAGGACUGAUGA